rnacentral:rRNA from 1 species
AGAGUUUGAUCCUGGCUCAGAUUGAACGCUAGCGGCAUGCCUAACACAUGCAAGUCGAGCGGCAGCACAGCAGAGGGUAACCUUUGUGGGUGGCGAGCGGCGCACGGGUGCGUAACGCGUAGGAAUCUACCUCGUUGUGGGGGAUAACCCGGGGAAACUCGGGCUAAUACCGCAUAAUCUCUACGGAGCAAAGUGGGGGACCUUCGGGCCUCACGCAAUGAGAUGAGCCUGCGUUGGAUUAGCUAGUUGGUGGGGUAAAGGCCUACCAAGGCUAUGAUCCAUAACUGGUCUGAGAGGACGACCAGUCACACUGGGACUGAGACACGGCCCAGACUCCUACGGGAGGCAGCAGUGGGGAAUAUUGGACAAUGGGCGAAAGCCUGAUCCAGCAAUGCCGCGUGUGUGAAGAAGGCCUUCGGGUUGUAAAGCACUUUCGACGGGGAAGAAAUCCUUGUGUUUAAUAAACACGAGUGUUGACGUUACCCGUAGAAGAAGCACUGGCUAACUCUGUGCCAGCAGCCGCGGUAAUACAGAGAGUGCAAGCGUUAAUCGGAAUUAUUGGGCGUAAAGCGCAUGUAGGCGGAUGCCUAAGUCGGACGUGAAAGCCCCGGGCUUAACCUGGGAAUUGCGUUCGAUACUGGGCAUCUUUGAAUAUGGUAGAGGGGAGUGGAAUUUCUGGUGUAGCGGUGAAAUGCGUAGAUAUCAGAAAGAACAUCAGUGGCGAAGGCGGCUUCCUGGACCAAUAUUGACGCUAAAGUGCGAAAGCGUGGGGAGCAAACAGGAUUAGAGACCCUGGUAGUCCACGCUGUCAACGAUGAGAACUAGACGUUGGGGGGCUUGCCCCUUAGUGUCGAAGCUAACGCGUUAAGUUCUCCGCCUGGGGAGUACGGCCGCAAGGCUAAAACUCAAAGGAAUUGACGGGGGCCCGCACAAGCGGUGGAGCAUGUGGUUUAAUUCGAUGCAACGCGAAGAACCUUACCUACUCUUGGCAUCCUCGGAAUCCUGCAGAAAUGUGGGAGUGCCUUCGGGAACCGAGAGACAGGUGCUGCAUGGCUGUCGUCAGCUCGUGUCGUGAGAUGUUGGGUUAAGUCCCGUAACGAGCGCAACCCCUAUCCUUAGUUGCCAUCAGGUCAUGCUGGGCACUCUAAGGAGACUGCCGGUGAUAAACCGGAGGAAGGCGGGGAUGACGUCAAGUCAUCAUGGCCCUUACGAGUAGGGCUACACACGUGCUACAAUGGUCGGUACAAUGGGUCGCCAAGCCGCAAGGCGGAGCUAAUCCAGAAAAGCCGAUCGUAGUCCAGAUUGGAGUCUGCAACUCGACUCCAUGAAGUUGGAAUCGCUAGUAAUCGC